rnacentral:rRNA from 1 species
CCUACGGGGGGCAGCAGUGGGGAAUAUUGGACAAUGGGGGGAACCCUGAUCCAGCCAUGCCGCGUGUGUGAAGAAGGCCCUCGGGUUGUAAAGCACUUUCAGUGAGGAAGAACGCCUGGUGGUUAAUACCCAUCAGGAAAGACAUCACUCACAGAAGAAGCACCGGCUAACUCCGUGCCAGCAGCCGCGGUAAUACGGAGGGUGCGAGCGUUAAUCGGAAUUACUGGGCGUAAAGCGCGCGUAGGUGGCUUGAUAAGCCGGUUGUGAAAGCCCCGGGCUCAACCUGGGAACGGCAUCCGGAACUGUCAAGCUAGAGUGCAGGAGAGGAAGGUAGAAUUCCCGGUGUAGCGGUGAAAUGCGUAGAGAUCGGGAGGAAUACCAGUGGCGAAGGCGGCCUUCUGGACUGACACUGACACUGAGGUGCGAAAGCAUGGGUAGCAAACAGGAUUAGAUACCCCAGUAGUC